ACAUGCAAGUCGAACGAAGUAGCAAUACUUAGUGGCAGACGGGUGAGUAACAUGUGGGUAUCUACCCUUUGGCCUGGAAUAACACGAGGAAACUUGUGCUAAUACCGGAUAAGUCUUUACGGAGAAAGCUUUAUGCACCAUUGGAUGAGCCCGCACUUGAUUAGUUUGUUGGUGGGGUAACGGCCUACCAAGACUUUGAUCAAUAGCUGAUUUGAGAGGAUGAUCAGCCACAUUGGGACUGAGACACGGCCCAAACUCCUACGGGAGGCAGCAGUGGGGAAUCUUGCACAAUGGAGGAAACUCUGAUGCAGCGAUGCCGCGUGAGUGAAGAAGGCCUUUGGGUUGUAAAGCUCUUUCGUCGGGGAAGAAAAUGACUGUACCCGAAUAAGAAGGUCCGGCUAACUUCGUGCCAGCAGCCGCGGUAAUACGAAGGGACCUAGCGUAGUUCGGAAUUACUGGGCUUAAAGAGUUCGUAGGUGGUUGAAAAAGUUGGUGGUGAAAUCCCAGAGCUUAACUCUGGAACUGCCAUCAAAACUUUUCAGCUAGAGUUUGAUAGAGGAAAGCAGAAUUUCUAGUGUAGAGGUGAAAUUCGUAGAUAUUAGAAAGAAUACCAAUUGCGAAGGCAGCUUUCUGGAUCAUUACUGACACUGAGGAACGAAAGCAUGGGUAGCGAAGAGGAUUAGAUACCCUCGUAGUCCAUGCCGUAAACGAUGUGUGUUAGACGUUGGAAAUUUAUUUUCAGUGUCGCAGCGAAAGCGAUAAACACACCGCCUGGGGAGUACGAC
rnacentral:rRNA from 1 species